GGAAUAUUGGACAAUGGGGGCAACCCUGAUCCAGCGAUGCCGCGUGAGUGAAGAAGGCCUUCGGGUCGUAAAGCUCUUUAGUCCGGGAAGAAGGUAUUGUGGUGCAUAGCCACGAUAUUUGACGGUACCGGAAGAAUAAGCACCGGCCAACCCUGUGCCAGCAGCCGCGGUAAUACAGGGGGUGCGAGCGUUAAUCGGAGUUACUGGGUGUAAAGGGCGCGUAGGCGGUAAGAUGUGUGUGAUGUGAAAGCCCCGGGCUUAACCUGGGAAGUGCAUUGCAAACUAUCUAACUAGAGUAUAUGAGAGGGUGGCGGAAUUUCCGGUGUAGCGGUGAAAUGCGUAGAGAUCGGAAGGAACGUCAAUGGCGAAGGCAGCCACCUGGCAUAAUACUGACGCUGAGGCGCGAAAGCGUGGGGAGCGAAC
rnacentral:rRNA from 1 species